CAGGCCUAACACAUGCAAGUCGAACGGUGAAGCCAAGCUUGCUUGGUGGAUCAGUGGCGAACGGGUGAGUAACACGAUGAGCAACCUGCCCUGGACUCCGGGAUAAGCGCUGGAAACGGUGUCUAAUACUGGAUAUGAGGCGUGAUCGCAUGGUCAUGUUUGGAAAGAUUUGGCGGUCUGGGAUGGGCUCGCGGCCUAUCAGCUUGUUGGUGAGGUAAUGGCUCACCAAGGCGUCGACGGGUAGCCGGCCUGAGAGGGUGACCGGCCACACUGGGACUGAGACACGGGCCAGACUCCUACGGGAGGCAGCAGGUGGGGAAUAUUGCACAAUGGGCGCAAGCCUGAUGCAGCAACGCCGCGUGAGGGAUGACGGCCUUCGGGUUGUAAACCUCUUUUAGCAGGGAAGAAGCGUGAGUGACGGUACCUGCAGAAAAAGCGCCGGCUAACUACGUGCCAGCAGCCGCGGUAAU
rnacentral:rRNA from 1 species